rnacentral:rRNA from 1 species
AACGAACGCUGGCGGCAUGCCUAACACAUGCAAGUCGAACGAGACCUUCGGGUCUAGUGGCGUACGGGUGCGUAACGCGUGGGAACCUGCCCUUAGGUUCGGAAUAACUCCCCGAAAGGGGUGCUAAUACCGGAUAAUGUCUUCGGACCAAAGAUUUAUCGCCUUUGGAUGGGCCCGCGUUGGAUUAGCUAGUUGGUAGGGUAAAAGCCUACCAAGGCGACGAUCCAUAGCUGGUCUGAGAGGAUGAUCAGCCACACUGGGACUGAGACACGGCCCAGACUCCUACGGGAGGCAGCAGUGGGGAAUAUUGGACAAUGGGCGAAAGCCUGAUCCAGCAAUGCCGCGUGAGUGAUGAAGGCCUUAGGGUUGUAAAGCUCUUUUACCCGGGAUGAUAAUGACAGUACCGGGAGAAUAAGCUCCGGCUAACUCCAUG